UACGUAGGGUGCGAGCGUUGUCCGGAAUUAUUGGGCGUAAAGAGCUUGUAGGCGGUUUGUCGCGUCUGCUGUGAAAAUCCGGGGCUCAACCCCGGAUCUGCGGUGGGUACGGGCAGACUAGAGUGAUGUAGGGGGAGACUGGAAUUCCUGGUGUAGCGGUGGAAUGCGCAGAUAUCAGGAGGAACACCAAUGGCGAAGGCAGAUCUCUGGGCCGUAACUGACGCUGAGGAGCGAAAGCAUGGGGAGCGAACAGG
rnacentral:rRNA from 1 species